rnacentral:rRNA from 1 species
GACGAACGCUGGCGGCGUGCUUAACACAUGCAAGUCGAACGAUGAAGCCGGAGCUUGCUCUGGUGGAUUAGUGGCGAACGGGUGAGUAACACGUGAGUAACCUGCCCUUGACUCUGGGAUAAGCGUUGGAAACGACGUCUAAUACCGGAUACGAGCUGGGAUCGCAUGAUCACCAGCUGGAAAGAAUUUCGGUCAAGGAUGGACUCGCGGCCUAUCAGUUAGUUGGUGAGGUAACGGCUCACCAAGACGACGAAGGGUAGCCGGCCUGAGAGGGUGACCGGCCACACUGGGACUGAGACACGGCCCAGACUCCUACGGGAGGCAGCAGUGGGGAAUAUUGCACAAUGGGCGCAAGCCUGAUGCAGCAACGCCGCGUGAGGGACGACGGCCUUCGGGUUGUAAACCUCUUUUAGCAGGGAAGAAGCGCAAGUGACGGUACCUGCAGAAAAAGCACCGGCUAACUACGUGCCAGCCGCCGCAGUAAUAC